GAGAUGAUGACGACGGGGUCCGAGCCUGCAUUCAUCCUGUAGCUCCGAGGUCUGCUAGCUCUCAGCCCGGCGCUCUCUGCGACUGAGGUGAACUUUUGGACCUAGCUUAACCUUUUCCGGAUUGGCAUCUCCAGUCUCUUCUGGAAGGUCCUCCUCCUCAUCGCUGACAGCUUUUGAGCGCGUAGCCUCUUUACUAACAGAGAUCCUUAGAGCAGUGUAUCUCUGCUGUCCAAUCCUUUCGUACUUACUCAACCAAAGUAAGUACUUACUGUCUUGUGUCAUUCAUACCUUUUGCAUAUACCCUCUGGCCAUCCCCCAGUCCCAACCCUAGCACAGCCCUAGCUGCAGUGUUCCCAGUGGUUUGAAAGGAGAGUCAUCCUGAUUUACCGCUGCAGCUUGCUGGCCCUCAGAGAAUGCCGUCUGUUUAGGAAAGCAGAAUUCUGUGGUGGAAGGAAAGUCUUUUCUCGGCAAGUCUUGCCGUCAGUGGGUCAGUGGACAGUGGAGUAAGAGAACAGCACCACAGGUUGUGAGAAAGAAAGACAAACAAACCAAACAACAACUGAUCAACUGGUAUAUCCUCCUAUUUCAGGAGUAAAGCAAACUGAAAAAUUAAGAUUUUGAGAGAGGCAGGUGGAUCAAAUAAGAUGGAUAAGUAGGCUCUAGAGUUGAGGCUAAAUUCUGGAUUGUGUUCCCUGUUUCCUCAGGGGUCCAAGAUAUGCAAAGGAUUUCCCAUGCUUCCAUGCUUCCUACAUUUUAAAAAGAUGUAUUAUUCUAUGCCUAUGGAGGUUUUGUCUGCGUAUAUGUCUGGGUACUGUGUGACCAUGCAGUGCAUGAGUAGGCUAAAAAAGGUUGUUGGAUCUUCUGGGACUGGAGUUAGAACAGGUUGUCAGCUGCCCUCUAAGUCCUAGGAACCGAACUCUGGUUCUCUGGAAGAACAGUAAAUGCUAUUAACUCCCAAGCCACCUCUCCAGACCCCAUGUUUAUUACAUUGCUUCCUUCUUUAACGAUGAUUUAUUUUUAUGUGUUUUUGUUUGCAUGCAUGUAUGUGCACUGUUCACGCGAACCUAGUGUCUGCAGAGGCAAGAAGAGGAUGCUGGAUCCCCUGGAACUGGAAUCGCAGACGGUUGUGAGCUACCCCGUGGUUGCUAGGUACCAAACCCAGUCUCUGCAGGGGCAGUUAAGUGCUCUUCACCCUGUGCCCUCUACUUUCCCACUACUCUGGCCACUCUCCAGUCCCCUUUGUGGCUUUACUCUGACUGCCCCUCACCCAACUUUGCAGCAGCUUCCUGGGAAACAGCAUGUCCACCCACCCCAUCACUUCAGUCACCACCCAUUAUGCUAACAACUCUGGAAUCCUAACUUUGUUGCCUGUGAGCAGACUGGCCCUCUCUAAACUUUCUAUGACAACUUAUCACAUCUAACCCAAACUCAUAUUUACUUCUUUUGUUUAUUUCUUCUGACUGAAGAAAGUCACAGGGAGUAAUGUGACCUUCUGUUAGCUAAGCUAGAAAUCUCUGGAACUCCAUUUAGGCUUUACUUCCUCCAGGAAGCCUUCCUAAAUUCUACCCUCUGCUCUUAUACCUAGUCUUUGUACUUAACCAAAUAAUUCUUAGUUUCUAGCUUUCUCUAUCAUGCUGUACAAUGGACUCUGGACCCCUUCUUACACUGUCUUAUUAUCUAUGCCUACCAGUUUAGGUAGCAAAGCUAACGAGCACUAAUGUAUUCCUCGUGUUCUGUGCAUUGAGUACAUGGAUAUGAGUGGGGUGGUGACAUGGGCCUAGAGGCUGAGCAUUUGGAAAACUGACAAAGGAGAAUGAGGAGCUCAAGGGGACACGGGGCUACAUGAGCCUUGGUUUCCCCUUGAGACACAGGUCUGUGGAGUUUGCUCACCAACUGUAAAGCAUUUGUGCUAACAAGAGGACCAGAGUUUGGAUUCUGAGAGAAACUGGAGGUAAAUGUUGGGUGGAUAUGAAGGUCUACCUAUAAUUCUAGUCUCAAGACUAGAUCCGUGGACUGGAACAAGCUGGGCAAGUUAGAUUGGCUGUAUUGCUUACCUGCUGGCAUACAAAUCAAUCAUGCCCCAAAAGAAGAUAGAAACCAGUACAUGAGUAGGCUAAGAGGUUGUUGGAUCUUCUGGGACUGGAUUAGGCUGUCAGCUGCCCUGUAAGUCCUAGGAACUGAACUCUGGUUCUCUGGAAGAACAGUAAGUGCUCUUGAGGAAGAUCUCAGACAUUGAUCUCAGGCCUCCACACAUAAACAAUCAUGAAAAAAUGUGCAGGAAUAUUUUCUUCUAAGGACAAGGUGUGUGUUCACUUGUCUCCUUCCUGGAGGCUUCACCGGGAGUAUGCAGUGCCAACUGCUUUUGUUGAAUGAUCAAAGAGAAGUCUUCAUUUUAGCUCCUUAUAAUGGUCUACUGAGAGAUGUGCCAGAUGCAAGCCAAAGAUAAUGAGUGGAGUAAAGAAUAAGAGAAUA
rnacentral:sRNA from 1 species